rfam:Thermotogales bacterium 46_20 MPJ_scaffold_2459, whole genome shotgun sequence.
GUUUCAAUUCCUCAUAGGUAGUCUGCAAGC